AAGGGCACCACAAGAACGCGUGGAGCAUGUGGCUUAAUUUGACUCAACACGGGAAAUCUUACCAGGUCCAGACAUAUUGAGGAUUGACAGGUGUUAAUAUAAGACAUAUAUAUAUUAUUAUUAGUAUAUAUGUGACUUAUAUAUUAAAUAAGAUAGUCCUUUCAUGAUUAUAUGAUAGGUGGUGCAUGGCCGUUCUUAGUUCGUGAUAUGAAUUGUCUACUUAAUUGUGUUAAUCUAAUAUAUAAUAUAUUAUACUAAUAAUUUAACUUAAUGUUAGUUUAAUUAAUGUUCUGCUUAACUAUAUGUUAAGAUUAUUAAGUGAACUUAGUUAUUACUAUUACUUAGUUUAAUUAUUUAUUAUAAUAUUACUUAAUAAUGAUAAGCAACGAACGAGACUUAUUAAUAUUCUUACUAAUAAGAUUAUAUGUAUUAUUAUUAUUAUAAUACACUUAAUUAAUAUUAGAUUAAUUAUAUAUUGAUCGCUAUCUUAAUAAUAGUAUAUAAAUAGUAUAAAGUAUAAGCAAUAACAGGUCUGUGAUGCCCUUAGAUGUUCUGGGCUGCACACGUGCUACAAUAAAUAUUAUAUUAAGUAUAUAAUAAUUAUAUGUAUUAAUAUAUUACUUAUUAAUAUAUUAAUACUAACUAACCUAUUUCGAAAGUAAAUGGGUAAUCUAUUAAUAAUAAUAUAUUACUAUUAAGUUAAUAAUAACACACACUGUGUGUUACUAUUAAUAAUAUUAUACUUAUGGUUGGGAUAGUGUAUUGUUAAUUAUUACACUUGGCUUUAACUAGGAAUGCCUUGUAAAGUUCUAUGGUUUAUUAAACCAACUUGAAUACGUCCCUGCCCUUUGUACACACCGCCCNUCGCUCUUACCGAUGAAUUAUAUUAUAAAUCUAAGGGACUAAGUUAAUCUUGAUAGUAAUANNCUAUUNAUUAAUCGGAAACUUACAUACAUAAUGUGAUUUAAAGGAAAGAGAAGUCGAACAAGGCA
rnacentral:rRNA from 1 species